AAGCGCUGGGUGCAGAUCUCUACUUGACACUCCUUGGCUGCACUCUGCAGCCCUAAGGCUUUGUUAUGGGCUGAAUCAUGCCCCCACAAUUCAUAUGUUAAAGUUCUAAUUCCUAGUACCUCAGCAUGUGACUACAAUUGGAAAGACAGCUCUGAAGAGGUGACUAUGUUGAAAUGAGGCCAUCAGGACAGACCCUGAUUUAAUCUAAUGGGUGUCCCUAUAAGAAGGGAAAAUUUGGACACAUAAAGAGACACCAGGGUUCUGCACACAACAAGGAAAAUUUGUGUGAGCACACAGCAAGAAGGCAGCUAUGUGCAAGUCGAGGAGAAAGGCCUCAGGAGGAAUUAAAAUCGCCUACUCUUUGAUCCUGGACCUCUAGCCUCCACAACUGUGAGAAAAUAAAUAUCUAUUGUUUAA